GUCCCAGUAGCACAAUGGAUAGUGCGUUUGAUAUCUAAUCCAAAAGUUGUGGAUUCGAAUCCCACAUGGGAUG